rnacentral:rRNA from 1 species
GACGAACGCUGGCGGCGUGCCUAAUACAUGCAAGUCGAGCGAAUCAAUGGGAGCCUGCUCCCUGAGAUUAGCGGCGGACGGGUGAGUAACACGUGGGUAACCUGCCUGUAAGACUGGGAUUACUUCGGGAAACCGGAGCUAAUACCGGAUACGUUCUUUUCUCGCAUGAGAAGAGAUGGAAAGAUGGUUCUGCUAUCACUUACAGAUGGACCCGCGGCGCAUUAGCUAGUUGGUGAGGUAACGGCUCACCAAGGCGACGAUGCGUAGCCGACCUGAGAGGGUGAUCGGCCACACUGGGACUGAGACACGGCCCAGACUCCUACGGGAGGCAGCAGUAGGGAAUCUUCCGCAAUGGACGAAAGUCUGACGGAGCAACGCCGCGUGAGCGAAGAAGGCCUUCGGGUCGUAAAGCUCUGUUGUUAGGGAAGAACAAGUACGAGAGUAACUGCUCGUACCUUGACGGUACCUAACCAGAAAGCCACGGCUAACUACGUGCCAGCCGCCGCCGUAA